GAUGAACGCUGGCGGCGUGCCUAAUACAUGCAAGUCGAGCGAACAGACGAGGAGCUUGCUCCUCUGACGUUAGCGGCGGACGGGUGAGUAACACGUGGAUAACCUACCUAUAAGACUGGGAUAACUUCGGGAAACCGGAGCUAAUACCGGAUAAUAUAUUGAACCGCAUGGUUCAAUAGUGAAAGACGGUUUUGCUGUCACUUAUAGAUGGAUCCGCGCCGCAUUAGCUAGUUGGUAAGGUAACGGCUUGCCAAGGCAACGAUGCGUAGCCGACCUGAGAGGGUGAUCGGCCACACUGGAACUGAGACACGGUCCAGACUCCUACGGGAGGCAGCAGUAGGGAAUCUUCCGCAAUGGGCGAAAGCCUGACGGAGCAACGCCGCGUGAGUGAUGAAGGUCGUCGGAUCGUAAAACUCUGUUAUUAGGGAAGAACAAAUGUGUAAGUAACUAUGCACGUCUUGACGGUACCUAAUCAGAAAGCCACGGCUAACUACG
rnacentral:rRNA from 1 species